ACUAGAGAAAAGUGGCUGGAUACACUCGGGACCGAAAAUGUAAUCACAACAAAAUACACUUAUAUUUGUUCCCUGCAUUUCGAAGAAAAAUGUAUAAACCGAACUUUGGAUGUAACAAGACUUCGCGAUGAUGCUUUGCCUUCAAGGGUGUUGUUGAUACCAGCUCAAUUUGAAGACAGAGAGAAACAACAAUCUGUUCCUCGCAAAGUACUUGAGGAGAAACCUACCUGCAGCACUUGUAACUAUGCAAAUUCACCUGCACAAUUUGACGACAGUGAGAAACAAGAUUCUGUUCCUCACAAAGUACGACUGAAAGCGAUUUUUUCAAGACAACCUUUGGGUGGAAGAAUAUUUAUGUUUUGUUACCAAAUUUCUCAAUUUACUUCUUAUGUUGUUUUCU